GCCUCCAUGGAGGCCCCUCUCUGCAUGCACAAGUGGGCAAGAGCAGGGCAUUGUAGCCUCCCAUCCCAGCUGUGAUGUGAUCAGGAAGUGCAAGCAGAAACUGCCUCUUCAUUUUCAGUGGUGCCUACACAGUACAAGUGCUGAGGAGAUACGGAGCAAGCAGGUGUUAGCAGGGACAGAUCCUGCAGCCCUCGCUUGAAAAUCAGUGGGACUCCUGCCUCUGUGGGAAAGCACUGAAGGACCAAGUUCAGAAGUCACUGACUUAGGGUAGUGCUUCCCACUUUGGCUUGAAAGAGGCCAGAAAAACACAGGACACGGCAUAGGACACAUUAUACAUUUGCAUUUUGGCAUCAGCCAAAAUAUACAUCAAUACGAUGAGGUAUAUAGUAAAAAACACAUUCCUUCA